AGGGCAGCGAAACCGCGAGGUCAAGCAAAUCCCAUAAAGUUGUUCUCAGUUCGGAUUGUAGUCUGCAACUCGACUACAUGAAGCUGGAAUCGCUAGUAAUCGUAGAUCAGCAUGCUACGGUGAAUACGUUCCCGGGUCUUGUACACACCGCCCGUCACACCACGAGAGUUUGUAACACCCGAAGCCGGUGGAGUAACCUUUUAGGAGCUAGCCGUCGAAGGUGGGACAAAUGAUUGGGGUGAAGUCGUAACAAGGUAGCCGUAUCGGAAGGUGCGGCUGGAUCACCUC
rnacentral:rRNA from 1 species